rnacentral:rRNA from 1 species
UACGUAGGGCGCAAGUGUUGUCCGGAAUUAUUGGGCGUAAAGAGCUCGUAGGCGGUCUGUCACGUCUGCCGUGAAAACCCGAGGCUUAACCUCGUGGCUUGCGGUGGAUACGGGCAGACUAGAGGUAGGUAGGGGAGAACGGAAUUCCCGGUGUAGCGGUGAAAUGCGCAGAUAUCGGGAGGAACACCGGUGGCGAAGGCGGUUCUCUGGGCCUUACCUGACGCUGAGGAGCGAAAGCAUGGGGAGCGAACAGG